AUUGAACGCUGGCGGCAGGCCUAACACAUGCAAGUCGAGCGGAUGAGAGGAGCUUGCUCUUCGAUUCAGCGGCGGACGGGUGAGUAAUGCCUAGGAAUCUGCCCAGUAGUGGGGGACAACGUUUCGAAAGGAACGCUAAUACCGCAUACGUCCUACGGGAGAAAGUGGGGGAUCUUCGGACCUCACGCUAUUGGAUGAGCCUAGGUCGGAUUAGCUAGUUGGGAGGGUAAAGGCCUACCAAGGCGACGAUCCGUAACUGGUCUGAGAGGAUGAUCAGUCACCCUGGAACUGAGACACGGUCCAGACUCCUACGGGAGGCAGCAGUGGGGAAUAUUGGACAAUGGGCGCAAGCCUGAUCCAGCCAUGCCGCGUGUGUGAAGAAGGCCCUCGGGUCGUAAAGCACUUUAAGUUGGGAGGAAGGGCUUACAGCGAAUACCUGUGAGUUUUGACGUUACCGACAGAAUAAGCACCGGCUAACUUCGUGCCAGCCGCCGCGGUAA
rnacentral:rRNA from 1 species